rnacentral:rRNA from 2 species
AUUCCUGUACUUGGUGUUACUGCGAAGGGGGGACGGAGAAGGCUAUGUUGGCCGGGCGACGGUUGUCCCGGUUUAAGCGUGUAGGCUGGUUUUCCAGGCAAAUCCGGAAAAUCAAGGCUGAGGCGUGAUGACGAGGCACUACGGUGCUGAAGCAACAAAUGCCCUGCUUCCAGGAAAAGCCUCUAAGCAUCAGGUAACAUCAAAUCGUACCCCAAACCGACACAGGUGGUCAGGUAGAGAAUACCAAGGCGCUUGAGAGAACUCGGGUGAAGGAACUAGGCAAAAUGGUGCCGUAACUUCGGGAGAAGGCACGCUGAUAUGUAGGUGAAGUCCCUUGCGGAUGGAGCUGAAAUCAGUCGAAGAUACCAGCUGGCUGCAACUGUUUAUUAAAAACACAGCACUGUGCAAACACGAAAGUGGACGUAUACGGUGUGACGCCUGCCCGGUGCCGGAAGGUUAAUUGAUGGGGUCAGCGCAAGCGAAGCUCUUGAUCGAAGCCCCGGUAAACGGCGGCCGUAACUAUAACGGUCCUAAGGUAGCGAAAUUCCUUGUCGGGUAAGUUCCGACCUGCACGAAUGGCGUAAUGAUGGCCAGGCUGUCUCCACCCGAGACUCAGUGAAAUUGAACUCGCUGUGAAGAUGCAGUGUACCCGCGGCAAGACGGAAAGACCCCGUGAACCUUUACUAUAGCUUGACACUGAACAUUGAGCCUUGAUGUGUAGGAUAGGUGGGAGGCUUUGAAGUGUGGACGCCAGUCUGCAUGGAGCCGGCCUUGAAAUACCACCCUUUAAUGUUUGAUGUUCUAACGUGGACCCGUGAUCCGGGUUGCGGACAGUGUCUGGUGGGUAGUUUGACUGGGGCGGUCUCCUCCUAAAGAGUAACGGAGGAGCACGAAGGUUGGCUAAUCCUGGUCGGACAUCAGGAGGUUAGUGCAAUGGCAUAAGCCAGCUUGACUGCGAGCGUGACGGCGCGAGCAGGUGCGAAAGCAGGUCAUAGUGAUCCGGUGGUUCUGAAUGGAAGGGCCAUCGCUCAACGGAUAAAAGGUACUCCGGGGAUAACAGGCUGAUACCGCCCAAGAGUUCAUAUCGACGGCGGUGUUUGGCACCUCGAUGUCGGCUCAUCACAUCCUGGGGCUGAAGUAGGUCCCAAGGGUAUGGCUGUUCGCCAUUUAAAGUGGUACGCGAGCUGGGUUUAGAACGUCGUGAGACAGUUCGGUCCCUAUCUGCCGUGGGCGCUGGAGAACUGAGGGGGGCUGCUCCUAGUACGAGAGGACCGGAGUGGACGCAUCACUGGUGUUCGGGUUGUCAUGCCAAUGGCACUGCCCGGUAGCUAAAUGCGGAAGAGAUAAGUGCUGAAAGCAUCUAAGCACGAAACUUGCCCCGAGAUGAGUUCUCCCUGACCCUUUAAGGGUCCUGAAGGAACGUUGAAGACGACGACGUUGAUAGGCCGGGUGUGUAAGCGCAGCGAUGCGUUGAGCUAACCGGUACUAAUGAACCGUGAGG